CCCCUUCACAAUUCGCGCACACGCGCUUAUGUUCGAGGCGUUCCGGCAACGGGACUAUGGACAUAAACGCGCCCGUAAUAAGCGGAUCGGACCCGGGGGCGGUACCCGGCGGCUCCACCAGAUCAUCCGGCGUUGGCGGAUCAUGGGGCCGAAACAGGAUCGACGGACGUCCAAAGGGGUAUGCUUUGUCCCGGUGAGCCACCACCGUUAUCGGUGCAAACA
rnacentral:tmRNA from 1 species